rnacentral:rRNA from 1 species
UACAGAGGGUGCGAGCGUUAAUCGGAAUUACUGGGCGUAAAGCGCGCGUAGGCGGCUUUGCAAGUCGGGUGUGAAAUCCCCAGGCUUAACCUGGGAACUGCAUUCGAGACUGCAUUGCUAGAGUAUGGGAGAGGGAAGUGGAAUUUCCGGUGUAGCGGUGAAAUGCGUAGAUAUCAGGAGGAACACCAAUGGCGAAGGCAGAUCUCUGGGCCGUAACUGACGCUGAGGAGCGAAAGCAUGGGGAGCGAACAGG